rnacentral:rRNA from 1 species
AAAAUUGGACAAUGGGGGAAAAGCUGAUACAGCAAUGCAGCGUGUGUGAAGAAGGUCUUCGGUAUAAAAAGCACUUUAAUUUGGGAGGAAGGGUUGCUGGCUAAUCUCCAGCAAUUUUGACGAUACCGACAGAAUAAGUGUCUGCUAACUCUGUGCCAGCAGCUGCGGUAAUACAGAGGGGGCAAGCGUUAAUCGGAAUUACUGGUCGUAAAGCGCUGGUAGGUAGUUCAGUAAGAUGGGUAGAAAAUCCCCGGGAUUAACCUGGGAACUGCUUUCAUAACUGCUGAGCUAGAGUACGGUAGAUGGUAGUGGAAUUUCCUUAGUAGCGGUGAAAUGCGUAGAUAUAGGAAGGAACACCAGUGGCGAAGGCGACUACCUGGACUGAUACUGACACUGAGGUGCGAAAGCGUGGGGAGCAAAC